GGCUCUCCCUCGGCAGACGGAAGCCGGGCAGGGACGAGGGAGCCGGGAAGGCUGGAUCGGCAGGAUGGGGGACUCCAAAGUGAAGGUGGCGGUGCGUGUCCGCCCCAUGAACCGGCGAGAGCUUGAUCUGCAUACAAAAUGUGUGGUGGAUGUGGAUGCAAACAAGGUUAUUCUUCACCCCGUAAACACCAACCUUUCAAAAGGAGAUGCCAGCUGCAGGUUCUGAAGCACUCGUGGGAUUAUUGACCUGCCUGCAGACAGCGUUUGGAGGUUGGUGGUGGUAACUGCUCAGCAUCCAAACCUUCCGGAAAACUCUUCUAGAGCUGGCAAAGGCUUUUGACUGGGAUGUCUCCGAUGAGUUGACUUCUGCUGCAAACAGAAAGUAACGUUCCCACAGUGGUACCCAGCAGUAGGGGCCACUUCCCAGAGCUGGGUCGUUUUCUCAAAGAAACCUCAACGCAGCCACAAAACAAAACCAAAACCCCUCUUGGUGCCAUGCUGAAGCUAUUAGAAUGAAUGUCUUUAAUAUUUGAGUGGAAUUUAGCUUUUAUUGAACCAUUUAUGGCAAUUUUGAGGGAACUGUCUCAACAGCUUUGGUUUUUGAGCCUGCCUGUGUCUGAAGCUCUCAGUAACAGGUUGUUGAAGCUUCAAGGAAGUUUUAAUUGUGAUGUUGUUUUAAUUGUUCUCUUGGCUUGUUAAAUCUACAAAACAGACAAAUUCUUUUAUUUUAAGAGGAGUCUCUCUCCCUCUGUCUGUCUCUAUAUAUCACUGUUUUUAUGCUCAACCAAUUUUGUUUUGGGCAUGUUUGAGUUUGAACUCCAAAAUCUUGAUCUCAGAUUAAUAUAAUGAGAUCAGAAAGAGAUGCAAGAGAAUAUAUUUCCCACUCUCCAACAUGAUUGAUUAGUAAUAACUAGGGUAACUUUAUGCUUUACAGCUCUCACAAUUUCCGUUGCAGUCAUUUUGAUGGUGUAGAUGCAUCCCCCAGGCUGAUUUGAAAUAAAAUAAUCUGAAUGUUCAGGGUUGAGCUGUUUUGGCAGGACAGGGUUUGAUGUUCUCCUAAGAAGGUGGAUGAUGCCUCGUCAUAUUAUCAGUGAUUGUAUGGUCAGCUGGAAGGCACAGGCAGAUAAUACCGCAUACAACCUUCUAAUUUCCUUGGGUUUGGAAAACAGAAUAGGAAAACUGUCAGGGUUUGUUUCCUAAAUUAUAUACAGGCUUAGUAUGAAAAGUAAAGAAAAGGAGAAACUUCUUAGUAUCUUACAGUCAUUGUCCUGAGUGAAUAAGUUUUUAGAGUUACUUGAGUGCAUCUGUUUGAAGUAAUUUGAACUUUUUUGUUGCGGUGGUGUUAAUUUUAGGAUGGCACUGUUGCACUUGAUGCUACCUUACACUCUACUCUGAUUUUGUCACCAGCUCUGUAGUCUGAAAUAAAGCUACUGAACGCAGAGG